rnacentral:rRNA from 1 species
UACGUAGGGCGCAAGCGUUGUCCGGAAUCAUUGGGCGUAAAGAGCUCGUAGGUGGUUUGUUACGUCUGCUGUGAAAACCUAGGGCUUAACCCUGGGCCUGCAGUGGAUACGGGCAGACUAGAGGUAGGUAGGGGAGAAUGGAAUUCCCGGUGUAGCGGUGAAAUGCGCAGAUAUCGGGAGGAACACCGGUGGCGAAGGCGGUUCUCUGGGCCUUACCUGACACUGAGGAGCGAAAGCGUGGGGAG